UGGGGAAUCUUGGACAAUGGGGGCAACCCUGAUCCAGCGAUGCCGCGUGGGUGAAGAAGGCCUUCGGGUUGUAAAGCCCUUUAGUUUGGGACGAAGUGUACGUGGGGAAAUCUGCGUAUAUUGACGGUACCAAAAGAAUAAGCACCGGCAAACUCUGUGCCAGCAGCCGCGGUAAUACAGAGGGUGCGAGCGUUAAUCGGAGUUACUGGGCGUAAAGGGCGCGUAGGCGGUAAUAAAAGAGCGAUGUGAAAGCCCCGGGCUUAACCUGGGAAGAGCAUAGCUAACUUUAUUGCUGGAGUGCAGGAGAGGGUGGCGGAAUUUCCGGUGUAGCGGUGAAAUGCGUAGAGAUCGGAAGGAACGUCGAUGGCGAAGGCAGCCACCUGGCCUGUAACUGACGCUGAGGCGCGAAAGCGUGGGUAGCGAACAG
rnacentral:rRNA from 1 species